rnacentral:rRNA from 1 species
CCUACGGGUGGCAGCAGUGAGGAAUAUUGGUCAAUGGCCGAGAGGCUGAACCAGUCAAGUCGCGUGAGGGAAGACGGCCCUACGGGGUGUAAACCUCUUUUGUCGGGGAGCAAAGCGAACCACGUGUGGUUCAUUGAGAGUACCCGAAGAAAAAGCAUCGGCUAACUCCGUGCCAGCAGCCGCGGUAAUACGGAGGAUGCGAGCGUCAUCCGGAUUUAUUGGGUUAAAAGGGUGCGCAGGCGGAGGUGCAAGUCAGCGGUCAAAUUGCGGGGCUCAACCCCGUACUGCCGUUGAAACUGCAUCCCUUGAGUGCGCGAGAAGUAUGCGGAAUGCGGGGUGUAGCGGUGAAAUGCAUAGAUAUCACGCAGAACUCCGAUUGCGAAGGCAGCAUACCGGCGCGCAACUGACGCUCAUGCACGAAAGCGUGGGUAUCGAACAGGAUUAGAUACCCCAGUAGUC